UCUUAAAAAGUUCCUGCUGGCUGGGAAGGGACAGCCAGCUGAGCUCGGUGCCUCCAAAACCCGAGGAAGGCGCCAGGAACUGCCGCUGACUCGUCCCGUAGCCCGGCGGGAUGUAAGGUGCUCCACUGCUCCCGGCGAGAGCAUUUGGAUGAAGAGGUACAGGGCAGAAUCUUCCACUCGCAUUGGAUGUCUUAAGUUGCUUGCUCAAUAUUUGAAAACAAUUUUCUCUGACACAUUGUGACACAAAUCUGG